rnacentral:miRNA from 1 species
AUGUGAUAUAUGUGACAUAUGUAUCACAUAUGGAUAUAUGUGGUGUGUGUGUGUGUAUGUGUGUGUGUGUGUAUAUACAUAUAUAUAUACACACACAUAUAUACAUAUAUAUAC